GUCGCAGUGCCAAAGAGAGAGAGCUAACCCAUUCCUGCUGCUCCCUCUCUUACAGGGAGAUCCAGGGGAAACAGGCCUGAAAGGAGAGAGAGGCCCUCCAGGUCCCAGGGGGCCGGAUGGUCUCCCAGGGCCUGCAGGUGGGACUCUGCUGGAUAACAUGUCAGAAAAGGGGACAAAAGGGGAAAAGGGAGAUCCAGGUCCACCUGGCAAAGGAGUGGAGAUCAAGGAUCUGGAGAGACUUUUUGAAGCCUAUGGGAUCAAGCUGGCGCUACUGAAGGAACUGACCGAUCUGCUCCUGAGGGAUGGGCUUGAAGCGCUGAUCCAGCGGCGAACCAGCUCCAGGAAAGGCAAGCCCGCCAAGAAAAAGGAGGGAUCUACGCAAGCUACGGACUAUGCUGUUUCGUUGAAGUAUGAUUUUUCUAGCGACCCUCUUACCAGUAUAGAAGUCACUGAAGAAGACCUGAGUAUUGAUGUCGGGCAUCAGCUUACAGUUCCAGCAGCUGUAGGACAAUCUACUAAGGAUGUAACAGGUCAGAAGAAACCUCUGGUUGAUGGGACAACAGCCAUCAGUCCUGGUGACUACACCGAGAUGGAAGUAAUGGUAAACCAGAUGCGCUCAUGUCAGAGACAGCCGGAGGCUGAGAAACGGGAAGGCCAUCCUAGAGCUCUGAAUGCAACUUGGCUACAAACUAGCCAAGAAGAGCCCACUGCAGGGCGACAACAUACUGCUGAAAAUACCUCUCUUGAGUGCCAAGAGGUGGAUGGGUCGGUAAUAAGGAAGAAGGAAGAGGUAACAUUGAAAAUCCCC
rnacentral:lncRNA from 1 species